rnacentral:rRNA from 1 species
AUUGAACGCUGGCGGCAGGCCUAACACAUGCAAGUCGAGCGAGCGGCGGACGGGUGAGUAAUGUCUGGGAAACUGCCUGAUGGAGGGGGAUAACUACUGGAAACGGUAGCUAAUACCGCAUACCAUCAGAUGUGCCCAGAUGGGAUUAGCUAGUAGGUGGGGUAACGGCUCACCUACGCGACGAUCCCUAGCUGGUCUGAGAGGAUGACCAGCCAGACUGGAGCUGGAGCACGGUCCAGAAUCCUACGGGAGGCAGCGGUGGGGAAUAUUGCACGAUGGUCGCAAGCCUGAUGCAGCCAUGCCGCGUGUGUGAAGAAGGUCUUCGGGUUGUAAAGCACUUUCAGCGGGGAGGCGUUACCCGCAGAAGAAGCACCGGCUAACUCCGUGCCAGCAGCCGCGGUAAUAC